GUUAAAAUUAAUAAUUUCCGUUUUCUACCCACUUUUUAUAUAAGGAGUCCUUGGCAAAAUGGCAUUUUUUUAUAGUGCAAUUUGCACUUUGGCCUAGUUUCAAUAGAUUUUAGCUAAAUGGCAUCUUUUAUUAAUGAAUAUUUUGUAUUACCCAUUUUACCCUUAAAAUAAAUUAAAAUAAAAACCCUAAUAACUAUCAUCUCAUUCCUCUCACCCAUCCACCCACACCCAUUAUCAUCCCCCGCCGCCGCCGCCACCACCACCACCGGUGACCACUGCCCCCUACCGCCGGCGAACACUGCUAAUCACCAGAUGUUGCCAUUUCUCCACAAAUCCAACCACCACUCAUUCAAAAGAUGUCAUUAAAAAAUAUUGUAAUAUUAUGUGAUGGAAUGUGGAAAAAGAAUGAGGACUCGUGGAAAUGGAUUUCAAAUGGCUCACGAUCAAGAUCAAGUUUGGUACAAACUAACCUAACUUAUGAGGAGUUAGUUGAACAUAUUUAUGAAGUUACAGAAAUCGAUCACAACCUCUUCGAUAUAGAAUUAACUUACAAGAUAACAACAAUGGUGGAGAUUGAACCAAUUGUAAUAAAAAAUAGUAGAGACAUUGUUAGUUUCUUUACAUGGCAAGAGCGUGAUUUGGUUCCAUUAUGUGUGGGUUUGAUCAAAAAGAUGGAAAAUGUGCUCAUUAAGGAUAAACUUGUUACUAAUAUUGAUUCUACUACAAAUGUUAAUUAAGAUCCAAUAACCUACUUUCAAAAUUGUUCUACCCGAGAGCCAUCUUCUCCUUGUAGUAUGACAAUGUUCAUGUAUCAAACUCUUAUAGUAUGACUUGUAUUGGAUAUUUAUUAGCAAAGGCAAUGGAAUUGUAUUUUGUUUAUGUAUCAAACUCUUAUAGUAUGACAUGUAUUGGAUAUUUAUUAGCAAAGGCAAUGGAAUGGUAUUUUGUUUAUGUAUAAAA